UACGUAGGGUGCGAGCGUUAAUCGGAAUUACUGGGCGUAAAGCGUGCGCAGGCGGUUCGCCAAGUCAGGUGUGAAAUCCCCGGGCUUAACCCUGGGAAUUGCGCUUGAAACUAGCGGGCUUGAGUGUGGCAGAGGGGGGUGGAAUUCCACGGUGUAGCAGUGAAAUGCGUAGAGAUGUGGAGGAACACCGAUGGCGAAGGCAGCCCCCUGGGUCAACACUGACGCUCAUGCACGAAAGCGUGGGGAGCAAACAGG
rnacentral:rRNA from 1 species